rnacentral:rRNA from 1 species
AACGAACGCUGGCGGCAGGCUUAACACAUGCAAGUCGAACGGCUGUAGCAAUACAGCAGUGGCAGACGGGUGAGUAACACGUGGGAACCUUCCUAGGGGUACGGAACAACUCAGGGAAACUUGAGCUAAUACCGUAUACGUCCGUAAGGAGAAAGAUUCAUCGCCCCUAGACGGGCCCGCGUCGGAUUAGGUAGUUGGUGGGGUAACGGCCUACCAAGCCUGCGAUCCGUAGCUGAUCUGAGAGGAUGAUCAGCCACACUGGGACUGAGACACGGCCCAGACUCCUACGGGAGGCAGCAGUGGGGAAUCUUGGACAAUGGGCGCAAGCCUGAUCCAGCCAUGCCGCGUGAGUGAAGAAGGCCUUAGGGUUGUAAAGCUCUUUUACCAGGGACGAUAAUGACGGUACCUGGAGAAUAAGCCCCGGCAAACUUCGUGCCAGCCGCCGCAGUAAU